rnacentral:rRNA from 1 species
CCUACGGGGGGCAGCAGUGGGGAAUAUUGGACAAUGGGGGCAACCCUGAUCCAGCCAUGCCGCGUGUGUGAAGAAGGCCCUCGGGUUGUAAAGCACUUUCAGUGAGGAAGAACGCCUGGUGGUUAAUACCCAUCAGGAAAGACAUCACUCACAGAAGAAGCACCGACUAACUCCGUGCCAGCAGCCGCGGUAAUACGGAGGGUGCGAGCGUUAAUCGGAAUUACUGGGCGUAAAGCGCGCGUAGGUGGCUUGAUAAGCCGGUUGUGAAAGCCCCGGGCUCAACCUGGGAACGGCAUCCGGAACUGUCAAGCUAGAGUGCAGGAGAGGAAGGUAGAAUUCCCGGUGUAGCGGUGAAAUGCGUAGAGAUCGGGAGGAAUACCAGUGGCGAAGGCGGCCUUCUGGACUGACACUGACACUGAGGUGCGAAAGCGUGGGUAGCAAACAGGAUUAGAUACCCCAGUAGUC